UACGGAGGGUGCAAGCGUUAUCCGGAUUCACUGGGUUUAAAGGGUGCGUAGGUGGGCAAGUAAGUCAGUGGUGAAAUCUCCGGGCUUAACCCGGAAACUGCCAUUGAUACUAUUUGUCUUGAAUACUGUGGAGGUCAGCGGAAUAUGUCAUGUAGCGGUGAAAUGCUUAGAUAUGACAUAGAACACCAAUUGCGAAGGCAGCUGGCUGCACAAAUAUCGACACUGAGGCACGAAAGCGUGGGGAUCAAACAGG
rnacentral:rRNA from 1 species